rnacentral:rRNA from 1 species
UACAGAGGGUGCGAGCGUUAUCCGGAAUCACUGGGUUUAAAGGGUGCGUAGGCGGUGUGAUAAGUCUGUCGUGAAAUGCUCCGGCUCAACCGGUAGAACUGCGAUGGAUACUGUUUCACUUGAAUUGGGUUGAGGCAGGCGGAAUGUGACAUGUAGCGGUGAAAUGCAUAGAUAUGUCAUAGAACACCGAUUGCGAAGGCAGCUUGCCAAGCCUUGAUUGACGCUGAGGCACGAAAGCGUGGGGAGCAAACAGG